UGUAUGAAAAUAAGAUUGAUUUGAUUUGUGAUAUUUCUCCAAAAGCCAUACAGAAUGACUGAUCUCCUAUGUAGAAUAUGCCUGGCACGUGAUACUCGUAUGUGUACAACGUACAACACGCCACUGGAAGUGCUUUAUCAAAAAAUCACAAAUAUACCUCUUAAAACAAAAGACGGAAGACCACACAUGGUGUGUUACGUCUGCUACCAUUUAUUAAGCAAGUGUCACAAAUUAAUUGAAAGUGCCGUUAAAACUGACAAAGUUCUUCAACGACUAUGUAGCAGUGGUAUACAGUUAACCGAGCAGCAUAUUGCAGCGAUAGACAAGGCUUUCUUACUCACACCAUUAACUAAGUCACGCGUUAUAAAUGUAAACGCAAUAAGCGAUUCAGACGGAGUCAGUAUAGAAGUGGCUGAAGUCAAGAGAGAAAUUGAAGAAGAUAAGCCUAUAUAUUAUGAGGUGGAAGUUAAAGAAAAAGCUGAUUCUUUAGGUUUUGACGGUAUAAAUAAUACAGAACAUAGUUCAAAACAGUACGCUUGUACUAUCUGUGGUCAUUGCUUGCUCACCAAAGCUGAAGCUAGGAAGCACUACAAAUGGCAUGGCACCUCCGAAGAACCCUAUCUGGACUGUCUGAAUUAUUUAUUUGGCGCUCCACCAACUGUGGAAGUCACUAUGCAACCUAUCACGGCGCCAACUGACAGCAAAGAAGUAAUAAAGGCGCCAACUGACCACAAAGAAGCUCUACCGGCGCCAACUGGCAGCAUACAAGCACUAACGGCAUCAACUGGCAGCGUACAAGCAGUGACGGCGCCAACUGGCAGCAAAGAAUCACUAACGGCACAAACAGGCACCAUACAAACAGCCACUGCACCAACUUACAGCAUACAAGCGGUGACGGCGCCCACUGACCACAAAGAAUCACUCGCGGCGCCAAAAAAAUCACUAACGGCGCCAACUGGCAGCAUACAAGUGGUGACGGCGCCAACUCAUAGCAGAGAAGUGCUGAAGUCUCCGCAAACUAUCAUAGCGUCCGACACUAGUCCAACGAAGAUUGAAAAUGAUGAAGAGAUGCCUCAGAAAGAAGAUAUGGACGAAAAAUCAAAUUUACCCGAAGAACUAAAAGAUGAAUCGCCAAAAAUUUACAAAAACGAAAAAGAAUUAAUGAUAGAAAUGAAAAUAGACGUCUAUAAAAAAAUUGUGAAACCAAAGAAUAUAAUAAAGAAAAAAGAAGAAACUGCGAAACCAAAUAAUACAAUAAAGAAAAAAGGAAAAGCAACUAACAGUGAAGUGACUAUAAAAAAGAAAAAACUCACUAAAAACAUGAAACCAAAUAGAAAAAAUGAAACAAAAUUAACCGUUAGUAAUAAUUUAAGCGAAAACGAGGUAUAUUGUGACGUCCCAUUACUUAAAUCGGAUGACCCGUUAGACACAAAUUAUAAAGAUAAUACACCAAAUACAGAUAAAUUAGACAGUUCAGACACGAAUAUGGACACGGAAGAUAUAGAACAAAAUGAUGAAAAUGAAACGAAAAAUAUUACAGCAACAGAAAAAACAUUUCCAUGUGAUACUUGUAAAAAAGUCUCCCCAAGUAAUGCGAGGUUGAAACGCCAUAGACGUGUGCACACGGGCGAGAAACCAUUCUCAUGCGAACAUUGCUCGAAAACAUUCGCAGAAAAAUGUAACCUAAGUCGACAUUCCCGAAUCCAUUCCGGAGAAAAGCCAUUCGAGUGCGAUCUCUGCGGAAAAUGUUUCUCGAUUAAAACUCACUUGAGCGUUCACUUACUCACGCACAAUAAUUCUAGUAAAAUACAAACUAAAAGCACUGUGUCGUGCGAUGCUUGUGGAAAAAUAUACACGCACAAAAUGAAUUUAGCACGGCACAUUUCAACAAAGCACGCCAGGACACAUACAGGUGAAAAACCGUUCUCAUGUAACUAUUGCGAUUACAAGACUGCUGUAAAAUCAGCUUUAAUUAUACAUAUACGGACACAUACAGGUGAAAAACCGUUCUCAUGUAACUAUUGCGAUUACAAGACUGCUGUAAAAUCUCAUUUAAUUAGACAUAUACGGACACAUACAGGUGAAAAACCGUUCUCAUGUAACUAUUGCCAUUAUAAGACCACUCGAAAAUCAACUUUAAUUAGACACGAAAGGACACAUACAGGUGAAAAACCGUUCUCAUGUAACUAUUGCGAUUACAAGACUGCUGUAAAAUCAGCUUUAAUUAUACAUAUACGGACACAUACAGGUGAAAAACCGUUCUCAUGUAACUAUUGUGAUUACAAGGCUGCUGUAAAAUCAGAUUUAAUUAAACAUAUACGGACACAUACAGGUGAAAAACCGUUCUCAUGUAACUAUUGUCAUUACAAGGCUGCUGUAAAAUCAGCUUUAAUUAAACAUAUACGGACACAUACAGGUGAAAACCCGUUCUCAUGUAACUAUUGCGAUUACAAGACUGCUGUACAAUAUCAUUUAACUACUCAUAUACGGACACAUGCAGGUGAAAAGCCGUUCUCAUGUACCUAUUGUCAUUACAAGACUGCUAAAAAAGGUAGUUUAAAUACUCAUAUACGGACACAUACAGGUGAAAAACCGUUCUCAUGUAACUAUUGCAAUUAUAAGACCACCGUAAAAUCAAGUUUAAUUAAACACGAAAGGACACAUACAGGUGAAAAACCGUUCUCAUGUAACUAUUGCAAUUAUAAGACCACUCAAAAAUCAACUUUAAUUAAACACGAAAGGACACAUACAGGUGAAAAACCGUUCUCAUGUAACUAUUGCCAUUAUAAGACCACUCAAAAAUCACAUUUAAUUAAACACGAAAGGACACAUACAGGUGAAAAACCGUUCUCAUGUAACUAUUGUCAUUACAAGGCUGCUGUAAAAUCAGAUUUAAUUAAACAUAUACGGACACAUACAGGUGAAAAACCGUUCUCAUGUAACUAUUGCCAUUACAAGACUGCUGUAAAAUCAGGUUUAAUUAAACAUAUACGGAUACACACAGGUGAAAAACCGUUCUCAUGUACCUAUUGUCAUUACAAGACCGCAUCAAAAUGUAAUUUAACUGCUCAUAUACGGACACAUAAAGGUGAAACACCGUUCUCAUGUAACUAUUGUCAUUACAAGACUGCUAAAAAAGAUAAUUUAAUUAGACAUAUACGGACACAUACAGGUGAAAAACCGUUCUCAUGUAACUAUUGCCAUUAUAAGACUACUAAAAAAUCAACUUUAAUUAAACACGAAAGGACACAUACAGGUGAAAAACCGAUUUGAGGUAAACAGUCACUAUAGAAAAAAAUUCUUCAGUAAUUAUUUCAGUCGGUUGUAGGUAUAGUUAGUAGUAUAAAAGCAGUAAAAGAUGUAGCUAAAAGUCUUUGGUGUAAGUAUACUAUACAGGGUGGAAACGAUAAGUGAUCUCACUCGAUUAUUUCUAAACUAUACAAGAUAUCGAAAAAUUGAUUACUGAUCCUGAAAGUGCUUACCGCGUACGUGCUUACCCAGUUUUUGGAUAUCUUGUAUAGUAUUUAAUAUUAUGUGGUUUUACUAAAUGUAUGGAAGCUGGAAACAUUGAAUUUUCGGAUAGAUCCAUUUAUUUUGUAACCUAUUAUUGGUACCGUUGGAUAGAGCUCGGGAAGCACUUUCAGGAUCAGUAACUAGUUUUUGGAUAUCUUGUAUAAAAUAAUCGAGUGAGACCACUUAUCGUUUCCACCCUGUAUAGGGAGACACACAGAAAAGGCCUAAGUUACCAACAACGAGAAUCGAACAUAGGACCACUUAAGGCAACGUUAGUAGGUCGAGAAGGUACGUCAUAUUUUUCUUAGGUUCCGUUAGUAUUAAGGUUUAAACACAAUACUUUCAGAAUCGUAACUGAGUAAUAUAUUUUUUUAAUUGAUUUUCUCAGCCUUUAACUAAACUGUAUUUCUCAAUUAUUAUUGACAUUAUAUUCUAAUGAUGAAAGUUCAUUCAUGAACAUGAUUUUGAAAUUUUAAGAAUUUGAGAUAUUAUUAUAGUUUUAUGUACAGUCGCGGAAUGAAAAGGUUCGUCACCUUAGUGUCGGUUUUCGCUUGCACUAGGUACUGUAAGAGUCAAACCUGCCAACAUAACAGUGCAAGAAACAGUGCUGCUAACAUUUAAAUAAAUAUGACGUUUGCUAACGAAUAAGGUUUUGCUUGUUUAUUUUUCUAUCCCAUCAGUGCAAUGCAAUGAUGACAUUGACCAAUUGACAAUAGUUUUUUUUAUUUAAAAGAAAUAAUAAUGGCAGGUUGAACCAACAAGAAGGUUUUAGUUUAUCAAUCAUAAUUAAUCUUCUUGACAAGAUAAAUCGUCAAACAACUUUGAUCUGAAUAAUUUUGAACUUUACUGACGAACAUUUAAAGAUUAUUUUCUCUAACUCGAGAUUAUUCUGUAACAUAGUUUCAAAAGGUAAUAUGUACUCGCGAUUCGUUGAAGGAAUCAAUUUGAAAACUGACGAACCUUUUCAUUCCGUGACUGUACCUAAUUAUAAGGUAUUUUAACUAUGUUCUUUACUAGACAAAAAAAAAAACAUCAAAGCUAAUAAAAUGUUGUGUUUGUAUUAACUCGGAACUAUUUAUUACUAAUGAAGUCUUGAUUACCAACAAUACCUAUUUUUUUAUGAUUGACCUAAAAUGUAUACUUUCCCAUUUUUGUAAUUCAU